UCUAAACGACUCUCGGCAACGGAUAUCUCGGCUCUCGCAUCGAUGAAGAACGUAGCGAAAUGCGAUACUUGGUGUGAAUUGCAGAAUCCCGUGAACCAUCGAGUCUUUGAACGCAAGUUGCGCCCGAAGCCUUUUGGCCGAGGGCACGCCUGCCUGGGCGUCA
rnacentral:rRNA from 4 species